UGGGGAAUAUUGCACAAUGGGGGAAACCCUGAUGCAGCAACGCCGCGUGAGCGAAGAAGUAUUUCGGUAUGUAAAGCUCUAUCAGCAGGGAAGAAAGUGACGGUACCUGAGUAAGAAGCCCCGGCUAACUACGUGCCAGCAGCCGCGGUAAUACGUAGGGGGCAAGCGUUAUCCGGAUUUACUGGGUGUAAAGGGAGCGUAGACGGCGGUGCAAGUCUGAUGUGAAAGCCUGGGGCUCAACCCCGGAACUGCAUUGGAAACUGCAUGGCUGGAGUGCCGGAGAGGUAAGCGGAAUUCCUAGUGUAGCGGUGAAAUGCGUAGAUAUUAGGAGGAACACCAGUGGCGAAGGCGGCUUACUGGACGGUAACUGACGUUGAGGCUCGAAAGCGUGGGGAGCAAACA
rnacentral:rRNA from 1 species